rnacentral:other from 1 species
UCUCCCCUGCUCUGUUUGUGAUUGAUUCGUAUAAUUCAGAACCAAUGUAAUUCGAUUAGGGAGCUUUCCCUGAGUAGUGGACGGCAUGCCCCGUAAGGGGACGUCGGCAAACCGCGCACAAGGCACCCACCUGUCAACAGGUUCGAAUUUGGGUCGACACGGCAACAGCGGGGAAGAU